rnacentral:rRNA from 1 species
AAUGAUUACCCUGACCGUGGAUCACUGGGCUCGGGGUCGAUGAAGAACGCAGCUAAUUGC